UAUAAUGAGAGUUUGAUCCUGGCUCAGGAUGAACGCUGGCGGCGUGCCUUAUACAUGCAAGUCGAACGCUCCGCAAGGGGCGUGGCGAACGGGUGAGUAACGCGUAGGUACUUCUUCCAUCACGGGCAUAACCCCGCGAAAGCGGGACUAAUUCCCGAUAACAAUCGCAAGAUUAAAUGGUAUUCGCAAGAAUUACCGGAUGGAACGAGGCCUGCGUCCUAUCAGCUAGUUGGUAGGGUAAAAGCCUACCAAGGCUAUGACGGGUAGCUGGUCUGAGAGGAUGAUCAGCCACAUGGGCACUGGGAUACGGGCCCAACUCCUACGGGAGGCAGCAGUAGGGAAUAUUGCGCAAUGGGGGAAACCCUGACGCAGCGACGCCGCGUGCGGGAUGAAGGCCUUCGGGUUGUAAACCGCUUUUAUGAGGGAAGAACUUUGACUGUACCUCAUGAAUAAGAGGUUGCUAACUCUGUGCCAGCAGCAGCGGUAAUACAGAGACCUCGAGCGUUAUCCGGAUUUAUUGGGCGUAAAGCGUGCCGAUCGGCGGUCUAAAAAGUUUGGGGUAAAAUCCAGGGGCUCAACCCUUGGCUGGCCUUGAAUACUGUUAGACUAGAGGGGCAAAGAGGUGCUUGGAACGAACGGUGUAGCAGUGAAAUGCGUUGAUAUCGUUCGGAACACCGAUAGCGAAGGCAGAGCACUGGGUGCCACCUGACGCUGCUAGGACGAAAGCGUGGGGAGCGAAUGGGAUUAGAUACCCCAGUAGUCCACGCUGUAAACGAUGAUGACUAGGCACGGGAGAGUAUCGACCCUCUUCCGCGCCGCAGCUAACGCGUUAAGUCAUCCGCCUGGGUAGUACGGUCGCAAGACUAAAACCUAAAGGAAUUGACGGGGAUCUGCACAAGCGGUGGAGCAUGUGGUUUAAUUCGACGAUAAGCGAGGAACCUUACCUAGACUUGACAUUGCACUGCAUACAUCAGAAAUGGUGUAGCCUUCGAGGGUGUGCAACAGGUGAUGCACGGUUGUCGUCAGCUCGUGUCGUGAGAUGUUGCCUUAAGUGGCAGAACGAGCGCAACCCUUGUCUCAUGUUGUUUUUAUCAUGAGAGACUGCCAGGGUUUAACCUGGAGGAAGGUGGGGAUGACGUCAAAUCAGCGUGUCUCUUACGUCUAGGGCUACACACGUGCUACAAUGGGGUGCAACAAAGGGACGCCAAGUCGCAAGACGGAGCAAAUCCUAACAAAUCACCCCCCAGUUCGGAUUGAGGGCUGCAACUCGCCCUCAUGAAGUCGGAAUCGCUAGUAACCGUGGAUCAGCCUCGCCACGGUGAAUACGUUCUCGGAUUUUGUACACACCGCCCGUCACACCAUGGAAGUGAGUAGUACCCAAAGUUCACCUUUUGGUGGAUCAAGGUAAGACCCAUGACUGGGGUGAAGUUUAACGGCUUCCUAUGCGAGCAAUUGCAUAGUAAAAUCUAACUAUAU
rnacentral:rRNA from 1 species